GAUGAACGCUUAGCUACAGGCUUAACACAUGCAAGUCGCGGGGCAUCAUGGAGGUUGCUUGCAAUUUCUGAUGGCGACCGGCGCACGGGUGAGUAACGCGUACCAACCUUCCCAUUACUACGGCAUACCCCGUUGAAAGGCGGCCUAAUUCCGUAUGCAGUCCGAGGCAGUCAUCUAAUUUGGACGAAAGGUAUAUUCUAUCGGUAAUGGAUGGGGAUGCGCCGAUUACCAGCCGGCGGGGUAACGGCCCACCGGGGCAUUGAUCGGUAGGGGUUCUGAGAGGAAGGUCCCCCACACUGGAACUGAGACACGGUCCAGACUCCUACGGGAGGCAGCAGUGAGGAAUAUUGGUCAAUGGGCGUAAGCCUGAACCAGCCAAGUAGCGUGCAGGAUGACGGCCCUAUGGGUUGUAAACUGCUUUUAUGCGGGGAUAAAGUUGGGGACGUGUCCCUUUUUGCAGGUAACCGCAUGAAUAAGGA
rnacentral:rRNA from 1 species